GCACGGUAGUUAGCCGGUGCUUCUUCUGCAGGUACCGUCACUUGCGCUUCGUCCCUGCUGAAAGAGGUUUACAACCCGAAGGCCGUCAUCCCUCACGCGGCGUCGCUGCAUCAGGCUUUCGCCCAUUGUGCAAUAUUCCCCA
rnacentral:rRNA from 1 species